CUCAUGUAGUAGGGUCAUGUACCAUGGUACCUUCCACCCUGUGUUCUCAGCCAUGGUGGUACUGGUGAAGUUAGACUUGUUCUGAUGUCCCUCUCUAGCUGCUCCGGGGUCAUCGCCAUGUAAAGUCCAAAGACGAAAAAUAACCCUGAAGGAAGGAGAGAUGACUAGAAAGAAUCCGGUUGACCGCUUUAUGUGUGGAUUAAUUGUUGGAGUAGAGGACCUUGUGCAUUUCAGGUAAAAUAACAACUCAAUGUUUAUAUCCCAGGACAAAUAAGCUAGCUAAAUUGCCAUAAAUGUUUAAUGCUUUUCGACCUGUCCCCAAAUUAAUAUAAUUGGUUGAGAGUUUGUUUUGAUAUUUCGUGUCAUGAUCGCGUUUGGAGUGAGGGGACAAAAUCAAUUUGCGCACGAUGGCGGAUGCACUCGCGCGUCUGGUUUGGGCAUGGUGUAAUGGUUGUUUAAAUCUAAAAUUAGCUUGACGCGUUUUCGGUUAUCCUACAGACUCAGCGCAUUGCUACAUGGUACUUGAAGGAGAAUUGGAGGUUAAUAAUUUAUUACACUGUUUAGAUUGAGCACAUUUAAACGAAAGCUAAACUUCGUCAUGACGAUAUAAACGGAUGGAUGUGUUCCAGAUGAGGAAGGCCAUCUAUUGGCUGAUUUGGCGGCCUGGAGUGUAGGUCAUUGUUUUAUGAAAUGUGAUCCCAUAUCUCCAGUGACAAUAAUUAUGUAGCUAUGAAGUGUUCUCACACGAUUUCCUGAUUUUCACAACUUGGAAGUUACAUCAUGGGGAAAUGUUGUAUUUUACCCACUGAUAGAACAUAAACAUUCACCAAAUAAACAGGAGUUAUGUUUUUUAUUUCUGGGGGUGGAUUAUCCCUUUAAACUGUAUAGUGGUUAAUCAGUAGCCUUGCCUCAACCUAGUCAAAAUGCGAACCAAGGCAGGGUAAAAGAUGCAUUAUUUGUGUAUGUAGAAAUAAGUAACAAACAAGGACAUAUUUUAAUCUUGAUGAAUGACUAUUUGUAAUUUUACGACAAGCUAAGAUGUUCUUUCCCUUUAGUUUACAAUGUCUGUUCUGCCUCUAGUGACUCAGCUGCCUUCUGAUGUUUAUUAAGUCUGCUAAACUCACUCCAAUUUUCACUGUUAUUGAAAUAUGAAAAACUAUGGCCUUGUCAUUAUUAAUUCAUGUUUGCUUGUUGGUAACUUAGACAGGCAAGGGCCUCCAAGUGGCGCAGCGUCUAAAAAUGCUGACCAGACCGCACGCGCGCAUCUGAGUGCACCAUCGCCCGCAUGUUGAUUUUGUCCCCCCACACCAGAGAUCAGGACAGCAGGUUGAUUUUGUCCCCCCACACCAGAGAUCAAAACACGCAGGUUGAUUUUGUCCCCCCACACCAGAGAUCAGGACAGCAGGUUGAUUUUGUCCCCCCACACCAGAGAUCAGAACACGCAGGUUGAUUUUGUCCCCCCACACCAGAGAUCAGAACACG
rnacentral:lncRNA from 1 species